ensembl:snoRNA SNORD9 small nucleolar RNA, C/D box 9
CCUCUGUGAUGAGUUGCCAUGCUAAUACUGAAGCACCAGGCAGGACAGUGAUGCUCUGCACUGGGUGUUACUGAGUUAAACUUCACUUCUCUUAUAGACAUCUGAGGGGC